rnacentral:rRNA from 1 species
GGGGACAACCAUUGGAAACGAUGGCUAAUACCGAAUAAUAUAACUUUUGCAUAUGCAUGAGUUAUCAAUGGUGGGGACCUUCGGGCCUACCGCCUGAAGAUGAGUCCGCGGCCCAUUAGCUAGUUGGCAGGGUAAUGGCCUACCAAGGCGACGAUGGGUAGCCGGCCUGAGAGGGUGAUCGGCCACAUUGGGACUGAGAUACGGCCCAGACUCCUACGGGAGGCAGCAGUUAAGAAUCUUGCACAAUGGGCGAAAGCCUGAUGCAGCGACGCCGCGUGAAUGAUGAAGGCCUUCGGGUUGUAAAGUUCAAUAAGCAGGGAAGAAUAAGUAAGGUCUAACACGCCUUGCGAUGACGGUACCUGUCUAAAGCCUCGGCUAACUACGUGCCAGCAGCCGCGGUAACACGUAUGAGGCGAGCGUUGUUCGGAAUUAUUGGGCGUAAAGCGCGUGUAGGCGGGGAAUUAAGUUAGGUGUGAAAUCCAAGGGCUCAACCCGUGAAU